rnacentral:sRNA from 1 species
UUGACAGCCCUGAAGACUGACCUCCCCUGUGUAUCCUCAGAACAGGUAAACAUGAGCUGCAGCAGGGUGAGCUUCCCCUAUGAACAUGCCUCCCUCCUGACCUCUCAGCAUGAGAGGGUAACUCAGUUUCCCAGGUCCAUUCAGUCCUUGGCCUCU